rnacentral:rRNA from 1 species
GACGAACGCUGGCGGCGUGCUUAACACAUGCAAGUCGAACGGACAGACAGAGAGCUUGCUCUCUUGAAGUUAGUGGCGAACGGGUGAGUAACGCGUAAUCAACCUGCCCUUCAGAGGGGGAUAACAACGGGAAACCGUUGCUAAUACCGCGUACGAUUCAUGAACGGCAUCGUUUAUGAAUGAAAGGUGGCCUCUAUGUAUAAGCUAUCGCUGAAGGAGGGGAUUGCGUCUGAUUAGCUAGUUGGAGGGGUAACGGCCCACCGAGGCAAUGAUCAGUAGCCGGUCUGAGAGGAUGAACGGCCACAUUGGGACUGAGACACGGCCCAAACUCCUGCGGGAGGCAGCAGUGGGGAAUCUUCCGCAAUGGACAAAGUCUGACGGAGCAACGCCGCGUGAGUGAUGAAGGUCUUCGGAUUGUAAAGCUCUGUUAAUCGGGACGAAAGAGUUCUGCGUGAAUAAUGCAGAAAAGUGAUGGUACCGGAAUAGAAAGCCACGGCUAACUACGUGCCAGCCGCCGCCGUAA